rnacentral:misc_RNA from 1 species
AAUUAAUCAAUUUUCACUGAUGAAUAGAUAAGCCUUGUGAACCAAAAGCAAGCAUAAAACCCAAUGGUGCCAGUUAGCACAAAAAAAGCAUAUGAUGCUAUUAGCAUGUAGCCAAAGUAUAACGCCCCAGAAACAAACUUCGUUAUUUCAAGCUUUGUGAAGAAGUAGAAUGUUGCAUAAAGGAAGAGAUAUAACGCUGAGGAGCCAGAUGUAAGGUAUGACCUCCACCACCACAGGUAAUCCUCACUGCACAACUGGAAGUAGCAAAGCACUACAGUUAUUUCCGCACAAGUGACAAUGAGGAUAAUGAACACUAGGAAGAGGAAACCAAAGAUGUAGUAAAACUGAUUCAGCCAUAUUGAGGUGAGGAUGAAGAAGAGCUCUAUGAAAACAGCUCCAAAAGGAAGUAUUCCUCCAAUUAGAAUGGAGAAGGCUGGGUUCAUGUACCAAGCCUGCUCUGGAAUCUGUCUUGGAAUUUUAUUUGUCUUCACAGGAUCCUCAAUUGCUGGCUUUCUUAACCCAAUAUAACUUCCAACAAACACAAGCGGAACUGAAAUCCCAAACCAUAAAAAUACCAAAGCAAACAUGGUCCCAAAUGGCACAGCCCCAGAUGAUUUCUGGCCCCAGAUGAGAGCAUUUAAGACAAAGAAAAUGGCAGAGACGAUUCCAGGAAACAUAAAAGCAGUCCUAAAAGCAGUUUUCUUCCAUUCUGUUCCUUUAAACAUUUUGUACAGACGAGCAGAGGCAUAACCAGCAAAAAGGCCCAUGAAAACCCAAAGUAAGAGCAUGGCAGUCAUAAGGCCACCUCGGUUUGAUGGAGAAAGGAACCCUAGAAUUGCAAAGAUCAUGGUAACAAGGGUCAUUCCAAAAAAUUGAACACCUGUUCCAACAUAGACACAGAGUAAAUCAGAAUUUGAUGGGGGCCUGAAAACAUCUCCAUGGACAAGCUUCCAUCCAGUCUCUUCCUGGGCUUCUUCCUGUGUCUCCAAUUCAUUGUACUUGGAUAUAUCACGGUAAAGCGUGCGAAGCAUAAUCAUUGCCACCAUGCCCGAUAGAAACAGGACGAUCAUCAAUGAAUUAACAAUUGAGAACCAAUGAAUUUGGUCAUCACUCAUUAAAAGAUAGGUAUCCCAUCUAGAUGCCCACUUCACAUCACUCUCCUGGAAUUCAACAUCGUAUGUGAAAAUAACUUCUUUUUUCCCUUCAACUUCUUGAGGAGUGUUUGAAUUAACAACUGUGUGCUUUGCAUGGGGGUCACAGGUUGUUAAACGAGUUUUCUCAUCAUUCCAUUUUCCUUCAUAUUCAUGCUUAACGCUCAAUGGUUUAACUUCAAAUCCAACAAUUCUUGCAGAGUCAGUUUGCAAAUCUCUAUGAAACUUGACAGUGAAUGCCAAAUGAUUGUGGAUAAAAUACUUUUCCUCCUUGCUCCCACUAUAUUGGCCUUUAAGACCAACAUGAAACCCGAGCUGAUACACAGUAGGAGAUUCCUGAUCCAACCUUUGUCUUGGAACCACAAGAGGAAGGUUAUCAAGGAUCAUGUUCACCCGAUACUCAUCAUCAAUCUUCUCUUUAAACUCCUUUACAGUUUUGGCAUCAAAUUUAACACGGCAAACAAUAUUGCACAUCUUUGGCUCCCGCAUUUUGAACACAAAGGGGGAAUUUUCAAUACGGUCACCACGAAGCACUUCCCCUAG